rnacentral:rRNA from 1 species
CGGAGGGUGCGAGCGUUAUCCGGAAUUACUGGGUUUAAAGGGUGCGUAGGCGGCCAUGUAAGUCAGGAGUGAAAGUUUGCGGCUCAACCGUAAAAUUGCUUUUGAUACUGCAUGGCUGGAAUCAGGAUGAGGUCAGCGGAAUGUGGCAUGUAGCGGUGAAAUGCAUAGAUAUGCCAUAGAACACCAAUUGCGAAGGCAGCUGGCUAGACCUGUAUUGACGCUGAGGCACGAAAGCGUGGGGAGCGAACAGGAUUAGAUACCCUGGUAGUCCACGCCCUAAACGAUGCUUACUCGACGUAUGAAGCUAGUCUUUGUGCGUCCAAGGGAACCUUAAGUAAGCCACCUGGGGAUACGACCGCAAGGUUG